GGUCAAGCGAACAAGUGCAUGUGGUGGAUGCCUUGGCGAUCACAGGCGAUGAAGGACGCGGUAGCCUGCGAAAAGCUACGGGGAGCUGGCAAACAAGCUUUGAUCCGUAGAUGUCCGAAUGGGGAAACCCACUCCUUUUGGAGUAUCCAUGGCUGAAUACAUAGGCCAUGCGAAGCGAACGCGGUGAACUGAAACAUCUAAGUAACCGCAGGAAAAGAAAUCAACCGAGAUUCCCAAAGUAGUGGCGAGCGAAAUGGGAUGAGCCUUGCACUCUUUAUUUGUAUUGUUAGCCGAACGCUCUGGAAAGUGCGGCCAUAGCAGGUGAUAGCCCUGUAGGCGAAAACAGUAUGAAAGAACUAGGUGUGCGACAAGUAGGGCGGGACACGUGAAAUCCUGUCUGAAGAUGGGGGGACCAUCCUCCAAGGCUAAAUACUCGUGAUCGACCGAUAGUGAACCAGUACCGUGAGGGAAAGGCGAAAAGAACCCCGGGAGGGGAGUGAAAUAGAUCCUGAAACCGCAUGCAUACAAACAGUCGGAGCCUCGUAAGGGGUGACGGCGUACCUUUUGUAUAAUGGGUCAGCGACUUACGUUCAGUAGCAAGCUUAACCGUAUAGGGCAGGCGUAGCGAAAGCGAGUCCGAAUAGGGCGUUCAGUUGCUGGGCGUAGACCCGAAACCAGGUGAUCUAUCCAUGGCCAGGAUGAAGGUGCGGUAACACGUACUGGAGGUCCGAACCCACUAACGUUGAAAAGUUAGGGGAUGAGCUGUGGAUAGGGGUGAAAGGCUAAACAAACCUGGAAAUAGCUGGUUCUCUCCGAAAACUAUUUAGGUAGUGCCUCGUGUCUCACCUUCGGGGGUAGAGCACUGUCAUGGUUGGGGGGUCUAUUGCAGAUUACCCCGCCAUAGCAAACUCCGAAUACCGAAGAGUGCAAUCACGGGAGACAGACAUCGGGUGCUAACGUCCGGUGUCAAGAGGGAAACAACCCAGACCGCCAGCUAAGGUCCCCAAAUAUAGCUAAGUGGGAAACGAAGUGGGAAGGCUAAAACAGUCAGGAGGUUGGCUUAGAAGCAGCCACCCUUUAAAGAAAGCGUAAUAGCUCACUGAUCGAGUCGUCCUGCGCGGAAGAUGUAACGGGGCUAAGCUAUAUACCGAAGCUGCGGAUGCGAGCUUUGCUCGCAUGGUAGGAGAGCGUUCCGUAAGCCUGCGAAGGUGCCUUGUAAAGGGUGCUGGAGGUAUCGGAAGUGCGAAUGCUGACAUGAGUAGCGAUAAAGGGGGUGAAAGGCCCCCUCGCCGUAAGCCCAAGGUUUCCUACGCAACGUUCAUCGGCGUAGGGUGAGUCGGCCCCUAAGGCGAGGCAGAAAUGCGUAGCUGAUGGGAAGCAGGUCAAUAUUCCUGCACCAUUGUUAGAUGCGAUGGGGGGACGGAUCGCGGAAGGUUGUCCGGGUGUUGGAAGUCCCGGUCGCUGCAUUGGAGAAGGCACUUAGGCAAAUCCGGGUGCGGAAUUCAAGGGUGUGGCGCGAGCUCCUUAGGGAGCGAAGCAAUUGGAAGUGGUUCCAAGAAAAGCCUCUAAGCUUCAGUCUAACGAUGACCGUACCGCAAACCGACACAGGUGGGCGAGAUGAGUAUUCUAAGGCGCUUGAGAGAACUCGGGAGAAGGAACUCGGCAAAUUGGUACCGUAACUUCGGGAUAAGGUACGCCCUUGUAGCUUGACUGGCUUGCGCCAGAAGGGUGAAGGGGUUGCAAUAAACUGGUGGCUGCGACUGUUUAAUAAAAACACAGCACUCUGCAAACACGAAAGUGGACGUAUAGGGUGUGACGCCUGCCCGGUGCCGGAAGAUUAAAUGAUGGGGUGCAAGCUCUUGAUUGAAGUCCCGGUAAACGGCGGCCGUAACUAUAACGGUCCUAAGGUAGCGAAAUUCCUUGUCGGGUAAGUUCCGACCUGCACGA
rnacentral:rRNA from 1 species